rnacentral:rRNA from 1 species
AAGAGUUUGAUCCUGGCUCAGGAUGAACGCCGGCGGCGUGCCUAAUACAUGCAAGUCGAGCGGCAGCACGGUCUUCGGACUGGUGGCGAGCGGCGGACGGCUGAGUAACGCGUAUGAAUAUACCCCAAAGUGAGGGAUAACUGCCCGAAAGGGUGGCUAAUACCGCAUGUGGUCUUCGGACUAAAGCCUUCGGGCGCUUUGGGAAUAGCCUGCGUAAGAUUAGCUAGUUGGUGAGGUAAUGGCUCACCAAGGCGACGAUCUUUAGCUGGUCUGAGAGGAUGACCAGCCAGACUGGAACUGAGACACGGUCCAGACUCCUACGGGAGGCAGCAGUAGGGAAUUUUCCACAAUGGGCGAAUGCCUGAUGGAGCAACGCCGCGUGCAGGAUGAAGGCCCUCGGGUCGUAAACUGCUUUUAUGUGCGAAGAAUAUGACGGUAACACAUGAAUAAGGGUCGGCUAACUACGUG